CUACGUGCCAGCAGCCGCGGUAAUACGUAGGGUGCGAGCGUUAAUCGGAAUUACUGGGCGUAAAGCGAGCGCAGACGGUUACUUAAGCAGGAUGUGAAAUCCCCGGGCUCAACCUGGGAACUGCGUUCUGAACUGGGUGACUAGAGUGUGUCAGAGGGAGGUAGAAUUCCACGUGUAGCAGUGAAAUGCGUAGAGAUGUGGGGGAAUACCGAUGGCGAAGGCAGCCUCCUGGGAUAACACUGACGUUCAUGCUCGAAAGCGUGGGUAGCAAACAGGAUUAGAUACCCUGGUAGUCCACGCCCUAAACGAUGUCAAUUAGCUGUUGGGCAACUUGAUUGUUCAGUAGCGUAGCUAACGCGUGAAAUUGACCGCCUGGGGAGUACGGUCGCAAGAUUAAAACUCAAAGGAAUUGACGGGGACCCGCACAAGCGGUGGAUGAUGUGGAUUAAUUCGAUGCAACGCGAAGAACCUUACCUGGUCUUGACAU
rnacentral:rRNA from 1 species